GAUAUUGUCGCGGUCGGCUGAUCUCGUGGCCGCGCCACGCUUUCCUUGGCGAGAGAGAGAGAGAGAGAGAGAGAGAGAGAGAGAGAGAGAGCUACUGGCAAACGGGUGGGGUAAGAGGCUAGACAAGCAAAGUUUAGAGAGUGUGGGAAGGCAUCUAAACGCCUUUGGCUAAGCGGAGCUUCUCCUGAUUUGUGAGCGGCUGGCAGGCUGGCAACUUUUCCGCUGCUGCUCCAUCACUGGAGGUUUUAAGAGACUGGACAGCCACUUGUCCGAAAUGGUAUAGCGUCUCCUGCUUGAGCAGGGGGCUGGACUAGAAGACCUCCAAGGUCCCUUCAGCUCUAUUCUGAUUGUUGGAUUUUCUUGGAUGCAAUAGAGAGGAAAGCACGGUGGGUUUUUCUCCCCUAUAGAGACACCCCUCCGGGAAGACAGGUCCGAGAAGAUGGCCAAGGCCAACAGCACCACCAGACAGCUUUGGAAGUUCCUCUGGACUGCUGCCCUCACCCUCUGCGUCCAUCUGCAGCCACAACUAGCCAAUUGUGUUUCCUCUUCACCUGACAUGAAUCGUUUUAUCUCCUGUUUGUUGCAACAUGCAAGAAAUAGAGCAGAGAACUGUUCCCGCUUUUACGAACUUUUCUGCUUUUGAUUCCCUCAUCCCACUGUUCAAGGAGGAGAAAAUAUUGAGAAGGAGAUCCAGGAAGAUACAAUCUCUGCGUUGCAUCUUCGCCUUGUGAUUAAUCUGGAAGUGAUUUUCGUUAGCUCACGUCAUUUUUUUUAAAAUUGUGUGUCGUUGAAGAGCAUUUUAUUGGGUGCUGCAAAGACUUGAACAGGAAAACAUAACAACU
rnacentral:lncRNA from 1 species